GAAACUGAGUGGGUUGGGAAAUAAAUAUGUUCACUGCAUUUCUAAAGCAAAAAUAUCAGUAGUAUCGAAAAUAAUUUCAUUGAUUGUGCCUACAGAUAUUUAAAAAAACCUGCUCAAAUCAAGCGCAUGUUAACCAUACAAGAACAAGGGCAGAAAAGAAUUGCAGACAUUACUUGUACAUGGAGUUCACCAAAUAUAAACCCAACCCACUCAGUUUCUAACAACGGAAAUUCAGGGAGAAAUGUGACAUUUAGCUUUAAUCGGCAUCCAUUUCUUCUAGUGCAGUCCUGGCAGCAGACCUGGCUUCCUCUAAGAGUUCAUCAGGAACC
rnacentral:misc_RNA from 1 species